GACGAACGCUGGCGGCGUGCUUAACACAUGCAAGUCGAGCGGAGCGGCGAACGGGUGAGUAACGCGUGAGUAACUGCCGCCAUCCCUGGGACCACAGUUGGAAACGGCUGCUAAUACCGGUUAGUGGGGGAUGACUCGCGUCCGAUCAGCUUGUUGGUGGGUUAGUGGUUUACCAAGGGGACGACGAGUAGCCGGCCUGAGAGGGCGACCGGCGACAGUGUGCUGGGAGACGGCGCAAACUACUACGGGAGGCAGUAGUGGGGAAGAUGGCACACUGGGGGAAACACUGAUGCAGCAGCGCCGCGUGCGUGAUGACGUCCGUCGGGUUGUAAACCGCUUUCAGCUAUGACGCGGUAGUGGCAGAAGAAGCACCGGCUAACUACGUGCCAGCAGCCGCGGUAAUAC
rnacentral:rRNA from 1 species